rnacentral:rRNA from 1 species
UACGGAGGGGGCAAGCGUUAUUCGGAAUUAUUGGGCGUAAAGGGCGCGUAGGCGGCUAGAUGUGUCAAAGGUGAAAUCCCUCGGCUCAACUGAGGAACUGCCUUUGAAACUGUCUGGCUUGAGGCCGGGAGAGGGUAGCGGAAUUCCCAGUGUAGCGGUGAAAUGCGUAGAUAUUGGGAGGAACACCAGUGGCGAAGGCGGCUCACUGGUCCGGUACUGACGCUGAGGUGCGAAAGCGUGGGGAGCAAACAGG